CCUAUCAGCUAACUUUUGCCUCUCAGGAUUCAGAUUCAUCUUCUACAGGUUUUUCAACAAGGAAGUGCAUGACCUUUCUAGCCUCUUCAGUCUUCUUCUCAACCUGUGAACAAGCCAGUAAAAACACAGGAAUUAAGUAUGAAUGGAGGAUGAAGAGUUUGGCAGAGAAGAAUGUGAAGCGGUGCAAAGCAGGGCUUCUGACAACUGACUUAGCAGUUCUCUUCACUUGCUUGCUAAGGACACGAGUACCUCAGCGUCCAAAUCCAGAAAGAGAAGCAGGAAGCGAUGGCGGCCUGCGAAGGACACACCGCUGGACGCCGAGUCCCGGGUUCUUGGGUUCUCAGCCUUCCCGCUGCACAGCAGGGACCUCAGAAUCGGCCCCCUGUGAAUUCUCUCACCCAUAUUCUCAUCCUUCCCACUGUUUUCCCUGCUUCUCCCACUCACCCUAUUCUGGGAAAACUCCAGGUGGGUACUGACCAAUUUUUUAAAUUUUUAUUUAAUUUAAUGAUUGA